UGGGGAAUCUUGGACAAUGGGCGCAAGCCUGAUCCAGCCAUGCCGCGUGAGUGAUGAAGGCCCUAGGGUUGUAAAGCUCUUUCACCGGAGACGAUAAUGACGGUAUCCGGAGAAGAAGCCCCGGCUAACUUCGUGCCAGCAGCCGCGGUAAUACGAAGGGGGCUAGCGUUGUUCGGAAUUACUGGGCGUAAAGCGCACGUAGGCGGAGAUUUAAGUCAGGGGUGAAAUCCCGGGGCUCAACCCCGGAACUGCCUUUGAUACUGGAUGUCUUGAGUGUGGAAGAGGUGAGUGGAAUUCCGAGUGUAGAGGUGAAAUUCGUAGAUAUUCGGAGGAACACCAGUGGCGAAGGCGGCUCACUGGUCCACAACUGACGCUGAGGUGCGAAAGCGUGGGGAGCAAACAGGAUUAGAUACCCCCGUAGUCC
rnacentral:rRNA from 1 species